rnacentral:ncRNA from 1 species
AGGGAGCCUGAGAAACGGCUACCACAUCCAAGGAAGGCAGCAGGCGCGCAAAUUACCCAUUCCCGACGCGGGGAGGUAGUGACGAAAAAUAACAAUGCAGGACUCGUUCGAGGCCCUGUAAUUGGAAUGAGUACACUUUAAAAGCUUUAACGAGUAUCCAUUGGAGGGCAAGUCUGGUGCCAGCAGCCGCGGUAAUUCCAGCUCCAAAAGUAUAUAUUUAAGUUGUUGCGGUUAAAAAGCUCGUAGUUGGAUUUUGGGCGCAGGCGGCCGGUCCGUCGCAAGGCGUGUACUGGACGUCCUGGCCUUCCCUCCGGUUCUCCGCCGGUGCUCUUGACUGAGUGUCGGCGGCGGCCGGAACGUUUACUUUGAAAAAAUUAGAGUGUUCAAAGCAGGCUCUCGAGCCUGGAUAAUGGUGCAUGGAAUAAUGGAAUAGGACCUCGGUUCUAUUUUGUUGGUUUACGGAGCGCGAGGUAAUGAUUAAGAGGGACAGACGGGGGCAUUCGUACUGUGCCGUUAGAGGUGAAAUUCUUGGAUCGGCGCAAGACGAACGACUGCGAAAGCAUUUGCCAAGAAUGUUUUCUUUAAUCAAGAGCGAAAGUCAGAGGUUCGAAGACGAUCAGAUACCGUCCUAGUUCUGACUAUAAACGAUGCCUAACUAGCGAUCGGGGGGCGUUAC